UACUACGGACGCUUUAGGUUGCUAACAAGUAGGGGCAGGCGCGUCUAAUGACGUCAGGCGCGCCUGGUAGUCUGCGCACGCGCCUUGCCAGGACAAGGGCAAAUCUUUCGGUUUCGUCACAGAAUUUCUGGUGACUUGGGAAGAUGACGGUGUAGGAGGAUGCUGGGCUCACCACGUCCUGCGGAUCACUUAUUUUCCACCUACACCUGCCUAAAUAACCCAGAAAACCGCCAGAAGACUAGCAGAAAGGAUUCUCUGGAGCCAAGUGUAGACGAGAGGCCCACGGAAGAGGAGGACUGAGAUGUGUGGAUCUGGGCUGUGUGGAACUUGGUUCAAGCAUAUGAUUCGAGGGAAAAAAUAUCCAAUUCAUCACUGUAUGCCCUUUGGGUUUCAGACUACUGAAUCUUAUAGCUCAUGCAAAGACUCUGCCCAGAGAGCCUAACAGAGAGAAAGCACAAGCUGGGGAGGGACAGAGACAGAGAGGGAGACAGGAACCAAACUGGGCUCCAUGCUGACAGCAGAGAGCCUGAUGCGGGGCUCGAACUCAUGAACAAUGAGAUCAUGACCUGAGCUGAAGUCAGAAGCUUAGCUGACUGAGCCACCCAGAACGUGAAGAGCUAUCUUGAACAGCGGUGACGACUGUGGAAACCCUUGCCCUGUUCCUGAACUUUGGUGGAAAAAUUUCUCUCACAAGUAAGUGUUAUUAUUUGCCUUAUGUUUCAUGUAGGUGUUCUUUAACUUGUGCGAGUCUCUCUAUAUCCCUAUUUUUCUGAGAGCUUUUAUCAUGAAUAGUUGUUGUUUUUUUCUAAAUGUUUUGUUAGCCUGUUGAUAUAAUGGAUUAUAUUAACUGAUUUUCCAUUUUGAGCUAGCGUUGUAUACCUGGUAUAAACACCACUUGGUCAUAAUAUGUAUUUUUUGCAUUUAUUACUGAAUUAUAUUUACUAAUAUUUUAAGACUUUUUUUAAAAAUUUUGUCAAUGUUUUUAUUAUUUUACUUUUGAGAGAGACAGAGUGUGAGCAGAGUAGGGGUAGAGAGAGAGGAAGACACAGAACCCAAAGCAGGCUCCAAGCUCUGAGCUGUCAGCACAGAGCCCGACGUGGGGCUCGAACUCACGAACCGUGACAUCAUGACCUGAGUCAAAGUCAGAUGCUUAACUGACUGGAAGACUUUUUUUUACCAGAAUCAUGAGGGAUAUGGUCUUUACUCUUUAUGUAUUGUCUCCCUGGUUUUGAUAAAUGAUAAACUUCAUAAAAUGAGUAGGAAAAUGUACCCCCCCCCAACUUUUGGUAGAGGUUGUGUAGAAUUGAUGUUAAUUUUUCUUUAAAUAUUUGAUGGAAUUUGCAAGUAAAACUGUCUGGGCCUGGAGAUUUCUUUUUUGAGAGUCUUUAAAUUAAAAUUUCAAUUUCCUGAAUAGUCACGGUGCUAUUCAAAUUAUCUAUUUCAAAUUGGGUACAUUGUGGUAGUUUGUACUUUUCCCGGAAUUGGUUCAUAACAUUGAAGUUGUCAAAUGUGAGUAUUUGCUUGCAUUAUUACCUUAUUAUGCUUUUGUUGUGUUUGUGCAGGGUCUCUAGUGGUAUCCUUUGUUUUAUUGGUUUUCUUUACUGCCUUUUUCUUUUCAAUUCCAUUGCUUUUGGCUCUUACUGGUAUUAUUUCCUUCCUUACGAUAGCUUUGUAUUUUUAAUUUGUUCUUCUUCUAGUUCAUAAGUGGCUUGAAUUUUUUGAGACCUUUCUCUAUUUAAAUGUAAGCAUUUAAUGCUGUCUGUUUUCCCUCUCAAAAUUACUUUAGUUGCUUCCAACAGAUACUGAUACAUUAUAUUUUCAUUUUUAUUCAGUUCCAUGUAUUUUUGAAGUU